AGUGAACGCUGGCGGUAGGCCUAACACAUGCAAGUCGAACGGCAGCACAGUAAGAGCUUGCUCUUACGGGUGGCGAGUGGCGGACGGGUGAGGAAUACAUCGGAAUCUACUUUUUCGUGGGGGAUAACGUAGGGAAACUUACGCUAAUACCGCAUACGACCUACGGGUGAAAGCAGGGGAUCUUCGGACCUUGCGCGAUUGAAUGAGCCGAUGUCGGACUAGCUAGUUGGCGGGGUAAAGGCCCACCAAGGCGACGAUCCGUAGCUGGUCUGAGAGGAUGAUCCGCCACACUGGAACUGAGACACGGUCCAGACUCCUACGGGAGGCAGCAGUGGGGAAUAUUGGACAAAGGGCGCAAGCCUGAUCCAGCCAUACCGCGUGGGUGAAGAAGGCCUUCGGGUUGUAAAGCCCUUUUGUUGGGAAAGAAAAGCAGCAGGUUAAUACCCCGCUGUUCUGACGGUACCCAAAGAAUAAGCACCGGCUAACUUCGUG
rnacentral:rRNA from 1 species